AGGGCACAACGUAUCUCUCUCUCUAAAGCCAAAUAAUCCACUGCCGCAACAGAGAGAGGAGAAUGGCCUCGGCAGCUAUGGAAUUAGCUCUUAGAAAUCCGUCGACUUUAUUCAAUCCCAAGUCUCCAAAACCUUCAAAGCUUCGCGCUUUCACUCUCAGAUGCUCCCCCGCCACCUCAACCGCCGUCCCAGAUUUGGCAGAGAAACCUUGGAAGACUUCAGAUGCUAGGCUAGUGCUUGAAGAUGGUUCAAUCUGGAAAGCAAAGUCGUUUGGUGCUUCAGGGACCCAAGUUGGUGAAGUUGUAUUCAACACAUCCUUGACCGGGUACCAAGAAAUUAUUACAGAUCCUAGUUAUGCUGGCCAAUUUGUCCUGAUGACAAACCCACAUAUUGGAAACACUGGUGUAAAUUUUGAUGAUGAAGAAUCAAGGAAAUGCUUCCUUGCUGGUUUAGUGAUCCGAAGUUUAAGUAUCAGUACGUCAAAUUGGAGAUGUGCAGAAACAAUUGGUGAUUAUUUAGCAGAAAGAAACAUCAUGGGAAUUUAUGAUGUUGACACACGUGCUAUCACCCGAAGACUAAGGCAAGAUGGAAGCCUUAUUGGUGUUUUGAGCACAGAACAGACAAAAUCAGAUGAAGAACUAUUGGAAAUGUCUCGUUCAUGGGACAUUGUUGGGGUGGAUCUAAUAAGUGGUGUGUCUUGUAAGGCCCCUCAUGAAUGGGUUGAUAAAACACAUUCAGAGUGGGCAUUUAACUCCAGCAAAAGAGAUGGAGAUGCAUUUCACGUUGUUGCAUAUGAUUUUGGAAUCAAGCAUAAUAUACUCAGGCGCUUGGCUUCGUAUGGUUGUAAAAUCACUGUUGUGCCUUCAACAUGGCCAGCUUCAGAGACUCUGAAAAUGAAACCAGAUGGGGUCCUUUUCAGCAAUGGCCCCGGAGACCCAUCUGCUGUUCCUUAUGCUGUUGAAACAGUCAAGGAAAUUCUUGGGAAGGUUCCCGUUUUUGGAAUUUGCAUGGGCCAUCAGUUGCUUGGCCUGGCAUUAGGCGGUAAAACUUUCAAAAUGAAGUUUGGCCACCAUGGAGGAAAUCAUCCAGUCCGUAAUCUUCGUACUGGAGAUGUUGAGAUAAGUGCUCAGAAUCACAACUAUGCAGUUGAGGCUGCAUCACUUCCCAAGGGUGUAGAAGUAACUCAUGUUAAUCUCAAUGAUGGAAGUUGUGCUGGUCUUGCCUAUCCUGCACGAAACAUCAUGUCUAUUCAGUACCACCCUGAAGCAUCCCCGGGACCUCAUGAUUCAGACUACGGUGCUUGCACCAACUAGAGACAUGCACUAUUAACAGGAAAUCUAGGAAUUUCAUCAUCUACUGAAAGUUUUUAGCGAAUUCAUAGAGCUGAUGAAGAAAGUAAAAGUAAAUCCAUGAAGGUAUCUGCACUGAGCUUCAGUUGAUGGACGGCAUGCCCUGAGGGGGCGAGGGUUCAAAUUGUCAUAAACAAAUCCGGCCUCUGCUCGUAUCUAUGGGAUUAACAUUUACGGUUGCAAAAAACUUGUUGGGAGUUCCACCCCGUCUUUUCUGGUCAUGAUGCUCUAAUUGAUUCGUUUGUACUUGUUUUGAGAUGAAUAUUUGCCACGCUCGAAACUUUGCUCUAAUUGAUUCGUUUGUACUUGUUUUGUUUGCUUUAAUUGGUUCAAUAGAAUGGCUAUUCUACAA